rnacentral:rRNA from 1 species
UCCGUAGGCGGGUAAUUAAGUCAGAGGUGAAAUCCCACAGCUCAACUGUGGAACUGCCUUUGAUACUGGUUGUCUUGAGUUAUAGUGAAGUAGAUAGAAUAUGUAGUGUAGCGGUGAAAUGCAUAGAUAUUACAUAGAAUACCGAUUGCGAAGGCAGUCUACUAACUGUAUACUGACGCUAAUGGACGAAAGCGUGGGGAGCGAACAGGAUUAGAUACCCUGGUAGUC